rnacentral:lncRNA from 1 species
GUCAGUCUGCCCCUGCUGGGCGGUGCCUCCCUGUUAGGCUGCUUGGGGGUCAGGGGUCAGGGACCCACUUGAGGAGGCAGUCUGCCCAUUCUCACAUCUCCAGCUGCGUGCUGGGAGAACCACUGCUCUCUUCAAAGCUGUCAGACAGGGACAUUUAAGUCUGCAGCGGUUACUGCUGUCUUUUUGUUUGUCUGUGCCCUGCCCCCAGAGGCGGAGCCUACAGAGGCAAGCAGGCCUCCUUGAGCUGUGGUGGGCUCCACCCAGUUCGAGCUUCCCGGCUGCUUUGUUUACCUAAGCUAGCCUGGGCAAUGGCGGGCGCCCCUCCCCCAGCUUCUCUGCGGCCUUGCAGUUUGAUCUCAGACUGCUGUGCUAGCAAUCAGCGAGACUCCGCGGGCGUAGGACCCUCCGAGCCAGUGAGAUGAACCCGGUACCUCAGAUGGAAAUGCAGAAAUCACCCAUCUUCUGCGUCGCUCACGCUGGUAGCUGUAGACCGGAGCUGUUCCUAUUCGGCCAUCUUGGCUCCUCCUCAAUUUUUGUAUAUAGUGAAAGUGCUUCAGAGGUACAGUCCUUUUCCAAGAACCACCGCCAUGCCAUUGCCACUGGUACCUCUCCUCACUCAACUCCUCUCCUGGUGGUGCUUUGAAGAUGGCUGGAACUCUAGUCUUUACUCAGCUACUAAAGUUGGCUGUCUUCCAGCAGCCUUCCCAACUCCUGCUGAAAGAAGGAAAAAGGUAGAAAGGAACAUGUGAGAUGGUAGAGAGACGUGCACUGUUCAAUGUAACUCCACAUCUUCAGCAAAUCCUGUUAAACUAAAAAAAAAUGAUGCUGACUUCUAAGUCCAGGUGAAUGCACGACAGAGACAACACAUGCAGAUUCAGGAGCCAUUGGCGGGGAAUACCAGGAGAAUAACUCCUGGAAAUGCACAAAAAUCAUAAGGAGGGCUUUGGAUUUCAAGGCUUUGGAAUUGGAAGUUUUGCAUCAAGUUUACAUGUAUCUCCAGGACAGCUGAUAUUGGAUACUCAUUUAAAAGAAGACUUUUCAGUACCCAGUUGGAAAUAAAGCUUUAGAAUCCAAGUAUCCCUGAGGGAGAUGACUCUGGCAAAAAUGCACACUGAGGUAUAAAGAACUCAUGCCAUUCAAAAGCCUUAUUCAAAAGUACAUGUGGGAGGGCAGCAGGAAUCUGAAGUAGAAGAGGAGAAGAGAUGCUGGUAUGGGAAGGGAGGUGGUGAGAAGGAAGGCAUAUCUGCAACUGGGCCAAUUAAAAUGUGCAGCAUGUACAGGAGGUGGGAGAAUAAUCAAAUGAAUAACAAGUAUUAACUUUUCUGUAUUGCUAAGUUGUAAACUUAAAGGAGACAUUUUAAAAGGAUCUUAAAUUCUGUUCCUCAAUCUCAGUGACAUGAGAUAAUAUGCAUAUUGCUACAUCUUUUCUUUUUAAUGACCUAUAAAAGCAAUCAGGUGUGAGAACUUGAAAUUUUGUGAUCUGUUACAGUAUGCGCGUUAUGAAGCUCACACUCAUUUUCACUUUUAAGUGUCUCUGUUGUUUCUUUAGUUUUCAUUUUUAACAUUGUACCCAUAAAAAAUAACAUAUGUUGUUGUAAAAUGCUUUUAUUUUC